AUUGAACGCUGGCGGCAUGCUUUACACAUGCAAGUCGAACGGCAGCGCGGGCUUCGGCCUGGCGGCGAGUGGCGAACGGGUGAGUAAUGCAUCGGAACGUGCCCAGUAGUGGGGGAUAGCCCGGCGAAAGCCGGAUUAAUACCGCAUACGACCUGGGGGUGAAAGCGGGGGACCGAAAGGCCUCGCGCUAUUGGAGCGGCCGAUGUCGGAUUAGCUAGUUGGUGGGGUAAAGGCUUACCAAGGCGACGAUCCGUAGCUGGUCUGAGAGGACGACCAGCCAAACUGGGACUGAGACACGGCCAGACUCCUACGGGAGGCAGCAGUGGGGAAUUUUGGACAAUGGGGGCAACCCUGAUCCAGCCAUGCCGCGUGCGGGAAGAAGGCCUUCGGGUUGUAAACCGCUUUUGUUCGGGAAGAAAUCCUCUGGGCUAAUACCCCGGGGGGAUGACGGUACCGGAAGAAUAAGCACCGGCUAACUACGUG
rnacentral:rRNA from 1 species